CUUGUAGUCAUAUGCUUGUCUCAAAGAUUAAGCCAUGCAUGUCUAAGUAUAAGCAACUUGUACAGUGAAACUGCGAAUGGCUCAUUAAAUCAGUUAUCGUUUAUUUGAUAAUCCCUUACUACAUGGAUACCUGUGGUAAUUCUAGAGCUAAUACAUGCUUCAAGGAGUGGCUUUCGUCACUCUGCACUUAUUAGAUAAAAAACCAAUGCCCCUUUGGGGCUCCCUGGUGAUUCAUAAUAAUUUAGCGGACCGCAUUCCCUCGAGGAGGCGGUGGAUCAUUCAAAUUUCUGCCCUAUCAACUUUCGAUGGUAGGAUAGUGGCCUACCAUGGUUUCAACGGGUAAACGGGGAUA
rnacentral:rRNA from 1 species